rnacentral:rRNA from 1 species
CCUACGGGAGGCAGCAGUGGGGAAUAUUGGACAAUGGGGGGAACCCUGAUCCAGCGACGCCGCGUGAGUGAAGAAGUAUUUCGGUAUGUAAAGCUCUAUCAGCAGGGAAGAAAAUGACGGUACCUGACUAAGAAGCCCCGGCUAACUACGUGCCAGCAACCGCGGGAAUACGUAGGGGGCAAGCGUUAUCCGGAUUUACUGGGUGUAAAGGGAGCGUAGACGGUGAGACAAGUCUGAAGUGAAAGCCCGGGGCUCAACCCCGGGACUGCUUUGGAAACUGCCUGACUGGAGUGCUAGAGAGGCAAGCGGAAUUCCUAGUGUAGCGGUGAAAUGCGGAGAUAUUAGGAAGAACACCAGUGGCGAAGGCGGCUAGCUGGACAGUAACUGACGUUGAGGCUCGAAAGCGUGGGGAGCAAACAGGAUUAGAUACCCGGGUAGUC